rnacentral:rRNA from 1 species
CUCGUAGGCGGUUCGUCGCGUCCGGUGUGAAAGUCCAUCGCUUAACGUGGAUCCGCGCCGGGUACGGGCGGGCUUGAGUGCGGUAGGGGAGACUGGAAUUCCCGGUGUAACGGUGGAAUGUGUAGAUAUCGGGAAGAACACCAAUGGCGAAGGCAGGUCUCUGGGCCGUCACUGACGCUGAGGAGCGAAAGCGUGGGGAGCGAACA